CAAUAGCGUAUAUUAACGUUGUUGCAGUUAAAAGGCUCGUAGUCGAACUUAUGAUCUUGUACUCUAUUCCCUUUGCCAAGCGCAAUCGUGUGUAUGAGUACGGGUCAUCCUUCUGGAAACUAUACCUGCUCUUCACUGAGUGGGCUAUACGAUCCAGAUCAUUUACUGUGAGUAAAUCAGAGUGUUUAAAGCAGGCUUCACGCCUGAAUGUUCUAGCAUGGAAUAAUAAGAUAGGGCUUUGGUUCUAUUUUGUUGGCUUCUAGGACUAAAGUAAUGAUUGAUAGGGAUAGUUGGGGGUGCUAGUAUUUAACGGUCAGCGGUGAAAUGCGUGGACCCGUUAAAGACUAACUUAUGCGAAAGCAUUCACCAAGGAUAUUUUCUUUGA
rnacentral:rRNA from 1 species